CAUUUUUAGCUCACCUGGCCCAAAGGGCCAAGUGAGCUUUUCUCAUCACUUGGCGUCCGUCGUCCGUCGUCGUCCGUCGUUAACUUUUACAAAAAAACUUCUCCUCUGAAACUACUGGGCCAAAUUAAACUAAACUUGGCCACAAUCAUCAUUGGGGUAUCUAGUUUAAAAAAUGUGUGGCGUGACCCGGCCAACCAACCAAAGCAUUGAGAGCAAAUCUGACGGGGUAAAAUUGUUAAACAGGUCAAGAUCUAUCUGCCCUGAAAUUUUCAGAUGAAUCCGACAACCCGUUGUUGGGUUGCUGCCCCAGAAUUGGUAAUUUAAGUGAACUUUUGCUG
rnacentral:lncRNA from 1 species